UACGUAGGCAGCGAGCGUUGUUCGGAGUUACUGGGCGUAAAGGGUGUGUAGGCGGCUUUUUAAGUUUGGUGUGAAAUCUCCCGGCUUAACCGGGAGGGUGCGCCGAAUACUGAGAGGCUAGAGUGCGGGAGAGGAGAGUGGAAUUCCUGGUGUAGCGGUGAAAUGCGUAGAUAUCAGGAGGAACACCGGUGGUGUAGACGGCUCUCUGGACCGUAACUGACGCUGAGACACGAAAGCGUGGGUAGCAAACAGG
rnacentral:rRNA from 1 species